AACGAACGCUGGCGGCAGGCCUAACACAUGCAAGUCGAACGCCCCGCAAGGGGAGUGGCGCACGGGUGAGUAACGCGUGGGAAUAUGCCCUUCGGUUCGGAAUAACACAGGGAAACUUGUGCUAAUACCGGAUACGAUCUACGGAUGAAAGAUUUAUCGCCGAGGGAGUAGCCCGCGUAGGAUUAGCUAGUUGGUGAGGUAAUGGCUCACCAAGGCGACGAUUCUUAGCUGGUCUGAGAGGAUGAUCAGCCACACUGGGACUGAGACACGGCCCAGACUCCUACGGGAGGCAGCAGUGGGGAAUAUUGGACAAUGGGCGAAAGCCUGAUCCAGCCAUGCCGCGUGAGUGAUGAAGGCCUUAGGGUUGUAAAACUCUUUCGCCAGGGAAGAUAAUGACGGUACCUACAGAAGAAGCCCCGGCUAACUUCGUGCCAGCCGCCGCCGUAA
rnacentral:rRNA from 1 species